CUUGUACACACCGCCCGUCACACCAUGGGAGCGGGUCUCGCCAGAAGUAGUUAGCCUAGCCGCAAGGAGGGCGAUUACCACGGCGGGGUUCGUGACUGGGGUG
rnacentral:rRNA from 1 species